AUUGAACGCUGGCGGCAGGCCUAACACAUGCAAGUCGAACGAGUGGCGGACGGGUGAGUAAUGUCUGGGAAACUGCCCGAAGGAGGGGGAUAACUACUGGAAACAGUAGCUAAUACCGCAUACCAUCGGAUGUGCCCAGAUGGGAGUAGCUAGGAGGUGGGGUAAAGGCUCACCGAGGCGACGAUACCUAGGUGGUCUGAUAGGAUGAACAGCCACACUGGAACUGAGACACGGUCCAGACUCCUACGUGAGGCAGCAGUGGGGAAUAUUGCACAAUGGGCGCAAGCCGGAUGCAGCCAUGCCGCGUGUAUGAAGAAGGCCUGCGGGUUGUAAAGUACUUUCAGCGAGGAGGCGUUACUCGCAGAAGAAGCACCGGCUAACUCCGUGCCAGCAGCCGCGGUAAUUC
rnacentral:rRNA from 1 species